CGGGCACUUUAGGGGGACUGCCGGUGACAAGCCGGAGGAGGGUGGGGAUGACGUCAAGUCCUCAUGGCCUUUAUGACCAGGGCUACACACGUGUUACAAUGGGAGUUACAGAGGGAAGCUAAGCCGCGAGGCCAUGCCAAUCCCAGAAAAACUUUCUCAGCUCGGAUCGCAGUCUGCAACUCGACUGCGUGAAGCUGGAAUCGCUAGUAAUCGCGGAUCAGCACGCCGCGGUGAAUACGUUCCCGGGCCUUGUACACACCGCCCGUCACACCAUGGGAGCCGACAAGGGCAGAAGUCGCCGAGCUAACCUUCGGGAAGCAGGCGCCCAAGCUGUUGUUGACGACUGGGGUGAAGUCGUAACAAGGUAGCCGUAGGAGAACCUGCGGCUGGAUCACCUCCUUUCUAAGGACGCCGGAGAUGCUUUAUGCUUAUCUCCGGAUAGUCAAAGUCGAAACAGACUCUCUUCUCUUCUCUCCCUUUUCUCCUGUAAUUCCUAAGUUAUGAAUUUGGAGCAACGAAUAUUUAAUUCGUUACUGUGGACUCCUAAUUUCAAGAGGGGCCUGUAGCUCAGCUUGGUUAGAGCGCAUCCCUGAUAAGGAUGAGGCCGGUGGUUCAAGUCCACCCAGGCCCACCAUCUCAUUUUUGAUUUAGAUAUGGAUUUGGAUUUAGCGGCGGCUAUGAUGGUGGCAAAUCUGAGUUUUGGUAAUCCAAAUCUGAUAUUAAAGAUCGGGGGAUUAGCUCAGCUGGUAGAGCGCCUGCUUUGCAAGCAGGAGGUCAGCGGUUCGACCCCGCUAUCCUCCACCAAAUUAGUGAACAGUAAAAAAAGGUGGUGCAGCUUAGCAGAAGAUAAGCUUCAGCAAUUAUUUAAUAAUUUCUGAAUUUUAUUUUUUAAUAUCUUAGACAAUUAAAUCGGAGGUUUUGGAGACACAAGAUCAAAUGUGAGGGUCUCCAAGGGUUGACGAUCUUGACUGUUAAAGUCAGGUAGUAAGGGCGCAGGGCGGAUGCCUUGGCUCUGGGAAGCGAAGAAGGACGUGGCCAGCUGCGAUAAGCCUCGGG
rnacentral:sRNA from 1 species